rnacentral:rRNA from 1 species
AUUGAACGCUGGCGGCAUGCUUUACACAUGCAAGUCGAACGGUAACAGGGAGCUUGCUCCGCUGACGAGUGGCGAACGGGUGAGUAAUGCAUCGGAACGUACCCAGUCGUGGGGGGAUAACGUAGCGAAAGUUACGCUAAUACCGCAUACGUCCUGAGGGAGAAAGCGGGGGACCGUAAGGCCUCGCGCGAUUGGAGCGGCCGAUGUCGGAUUAGCUAGUUGGUAGGGUAAAGGCCUACCAAGGCGACGAUCCGUAGCGGGUCUGAGAGGAUGAUCCGCCACACUGGGACUGAGACACGGCCCAGACUCCUACGGGAGGCAGCAGUGGGGAAUUUUGGACAAUGGGCGCAAGCCUGAUCCAGCCAUGCCGCGUGCGGGAAGAAGGCCU